ACAUGCAGAGAACUUUCCAGAGAUGGAUUGGUGCCUUUCGGGAACUCUGACACAGGUGCUGCAUGGCUGUGUCCAGCUCGUGUCGUGAGAUGUUGGGUUAAGUCCGUAACGAGCGCAACCCUUGUCCUUAGUUACCAGCACGUUAUGGUGGGCACUCUAAGGAGACUGCCGGUGACAAACCGGAGGAAGGUGGGGAUGACGUCAAGUCAUCAUGGCCCUUACGGCCUGGGCUACACACGUGCUACAAUGGUCGGUACAAAGGGUUGCCAAGCCGCGAGGUGGAGCUAAUCCCAUAAAACCGAUCGUAGUCCGGAUCGCAGUCUGCAACUCGACUGCGUGAGGUCGGAAUCGCUAGUAAUCGUGAAUCAGAAUGUCACGGUGAAUACGUUCCCGGGCCUU
rnacentral:rRNA from 1 species